rnacentral:rRNA from 1 species
GGUAUGUAAAGCUCUAUCAGCAGGGAAGAUAAUGACGGUACCUGACUAAGAAGCACCGGCUAAAUACGUGCCAGCAGCCGCGGUAAUACGUAUGGUGCAAGCGUUAUCCGGAUUUACUGGGUGUAAAGGGAGCGCAGGCGGUGCGGCAAGUCUGAUGUGGAAGCCCGGGGCUCAACCCCGGUACUGCAUUGGAAACUGUCGUACUAGAGUGUCGGAGGGGUAAGCGGAAUUCCUAGUGUAGCGGUGAAAUGCGUAGAUAUUAGGAGGAACACCAGUGGCGAAGGCGGCUUACUGGACGAUAACUGACGCUGAGGCUCGAAAGCGUGGGGAGCAAACAGGAUUAGAUACCCUGGUAGUCCACGCCGUAAA